rnacentral:rRNA from 1 species
GACGAACGCUGGCGGCGUGCCUAAUACAUGCAAGUUGAGCGCUGAAGGUUGGUACUUGUACCAACUGGAUGAGCAGCGAACGGGUGAGUAACGCGUGGGGAAUCUGCCUUUGAGCGGGGGACAACAUUUGGAAACGAAUGCUAAUACCGCAUAAAAACUUUAAACACAAGUUUUAAGUUUGAAAGAUGCAAUUGCAUCACUCAAAGAUGAUCCCGCGUUGUAUUAGCUAGUUGGUGAGGUAAAGGCUCACCAAGGCGAUGAUACAUAGCCGACCUGAGAGGGUGAUCGGCCACAUUGGGACUGAGACACGGCCCAAACUCCUACGGGAGGCAGCGGUAGGGAAUCUUCGGCAAUGGACGAAAGUCUGACCGAGCAACGCCGCGUGAGUGAAGAAGGUUGUCGGAUCGUAAAACUCUGUUGGUAGAGAAGAACGUUGGUGAGAGUGGAAAGCUCAUCAAGUGACGGUAACUACCCAGAAAGGGACGGCUAACUACGUG